AUGCUGUCUCUGCUUCAGAAGCUCUCUGCCAUAAAACAAGCAUCCACACAGCCUCCUUCCUCUGCUGCUGCCUGUGAGAUGAAGACUGACAGUGGCUCCAGGGUGUGCGGUGCUGCGUGUUCUGGCUCAGUCCCAGCGAUGCCCUUAACUCUACCACAUGCCAUAUGCAACAAAGUGCAGAGAUGGACUAUAGGCUUCCAGCGAGUUACCACUGCCAAGGAGGAUGCAAAGACAGGCAGUUUCCUGGCAUCCCCUGCUUUCUUGAAGACAAUGUACCAUAUCACCGUGGGGAAAAAAGAAAAGCAGAUUUCUCUGGACAGCAAUCAUCCUUCAGCUUCUAAGAAAGAACAGUCUCACUAGACAAGAUGACAAAGAAAAGUGGCCCCUUGGAUAAGCGACUCAUCACUUCUUCUGCCAUCACUUCUCACGUUAAUUCCAGUGACUACAGUACUACAAUGAAAAUGGAACAUAGGAGUUUUCGUAAGCAUGUAAGCAAAAAUAUCUUAAAAUCUCUGAAAAAUAAAAGUAGGAUUUAGGUACCCUUUUUUGCA
rnacentral:lncRNA from 1 species